rnacentral:rRNA from 1 species
UACGUAGGAGGCAAGCGUUGUCCGGAGUUACUGGGCGUAAAGCGCACGCAGGCGGUUCAGUCAGUCUGUAGGGACAGGGCACAGCUCAACUGUGUCAGGCUUACGGAAACUGCUGAACUUGAGGGCUUCAGAGGGAUGGGGAAUUCCGGGUGGAGUGGUGAAAUGCGUAGAGAUCCGGAAGAACACCAAAGGCGAAGGCACCAUCCUGGGGAGUCACUGACGCUCGGGUGCGAAAGCUAGGGGAGCAAACGGG